rnacentral:rRNA from 1 species
UACGUAGGUGGCAAGCGUUGUCCGGAUUUACUGGGCGUAAAAGAGCGCGCAGGCGGUCGAGUAAGUCGAAUGUGAAAGCCCCCCGGCUUAACUGGGGGAGGGUCAUUCGAUACUGUUCGACUUGAAGGCAGGAGAGGGCAGCAGAAUUCCCGGUGUAGUGGUGAAAUGCGUAGAUAUCGGGAGGAAUACCAGUGGCGAAGGCGGCUGCCUGGCCUGUUCUUGACGCUGAGGCGCGAAAGCUGGGGGAGCAAACGGGG